CCGACCUGACAUGGCAGAAGUAAGAGGAGAGGCCGGGCUCUCUAGCAGUGCAGGAGACAAUACACAGGCAGAGAAGCCCACUGCAGUGGUGGCAGUGGUGUCAGUGAUGGUGUUUCCAGCUUUGAUUGCAUGUAGUUGUGGAGAGAACAAGGUCUCCCCUGAAUCUCUUUUAUCUAGGCUAAACAAUCCCAGCUGCCUCAGCUGCUCCCCAGUUGACUUGUGCUGCAGACACCUCACCAGCUUUGUGGCCCUUUUUUGGACACGCUCAAGAACCUCCAUGUCCUGUUGUCAGUGAUCCAAAACUGAACACUGGAUUUGAGGUGCAGUCUCACCAGUGCUGAGUACAGGAGGACUCUGGUACUUUCUAGAGAUGUUUCCCAAGAACCCUCCCCAUGAAGACAUACUGAAGAGGGAUUAUUCUCAGCAUUUGGCAUAUCAGUUGCACCAUGAAACCCCUUGGAGGUCCUUGCUUAUGCAGGCACAUACUGACAAUUUCAAAAGAGCUGA